AGCGAACGCUGGCGGCAGGCUUUACACAUGCAAGUCGAGCGGGCACUUUCGGGUGUCAGCGGCGGACGGGUGAGUAACGCGUGGGAACGUGCCCUCUGGUUCGGAAUAACUCCGGGAAACUUGAGCUAAUACCGGAUACGCCCUUUUGGGGAAAGGCUUGCUGCCGGAGGAUCGGCCCGCGUCUGAUUAGCUAGUUGGUGAGGUAACGGCUCACCAAGGCGACGAUCAGUAGCUGGUCUGAGAGGAUGAUCAGCCACACUGGGACUGAGACACGGCCCAGACUCCUACGGGAGGCAGCAGUGGGGAAUAUUGGACAAUGGGCGCAAGCCUGAUCCAGCCAUGCCGCGUGAGUGAUGAAGGCCUUAGGGUUGUAAAGCUCUUUUAUCCGGGACGAUAAUGACGGUACCGGAGGAAUAAGCCCCGGCUAACUUCGUG
rnacentral:rRNA from 1 species